rnacentral:lncRNA from 1 species
GUAAGGCAAAAAGCUAUGGGCAAAGAAACCUGAACUGCUGCUCUGGGAGAUAAAACUGUGCCGCGUUGUCAAAAAUGUUCUGCCCUUUUUCCUGAAAUUACGCUGUAUAAAGUUACUGGAUUUCCAGCUCUGGGAACUGAACUUUUCCUUCAGGAGUAUUACUACUAGCUCUUAUAGACAUAAUCAACAGAAGCCUUCAGCCCAGCAGGCAGGUGUCACAGUAGCAGUUCGUUUACAAGGCUUUGGCUAUAGGAUGUGUGCAAACCUUUGGAUGUAUAUACACACAAAAUGCAGAGACCUAACACUGAAAGCUUAUUUACAAAUUUGUUUUGUUUUUCCUUUUAUCUUUCAAGAUUUCAAAGGUGG